ACACACCGCCCGUCACACCAUGAGAGUCGGGAACACCCGAAGUCCGUAGCCUGACCGCAAGGGGGCGCGGCCGAAGGUGGGUUCGAUAAUUGGGGUGAAGUCGUAACAAGGUACC
rnacentral:rRNA from 1 species